rnacentral:misc_RNA from 1 species
GCAAACUUGGUCAUUUAGAGGAAGUAAAAGUCGUAACAAGGUCUCCGUUGGUGAACCAGCGGAGGGAUCAUUACCGAGCUUACAACUCCGAAAACCCCUGUGAAUAUACCUAUCGUUGCCUCGGCGGGACAGCCCCGGCGCCCAAGGCCCGGAACCAGGCGCCCGCCGGAGGACCCAAACUCUUGUCUCGCGAAUGUGUAUCUUCUGAGUGACAUAAGUAAUAAAUCAAAACUUUCAACAACGGAUCUCUUGGUUCUGGCAUCGAUGAAGAACGCAGC